AUUGAACGCUGGCGGCAGGCCUAACACAUGCAAGUCGAACGGUAACAGGAAGCAGCUUGCUGCUUCGCUGACGAGUGGCGGACGGGUGAGUAAUGUCUGGGAAACUGCCUGAUGGAGGGGGAUAACUACUGGAAACGGUAGCUAAUACCGCAUAACGUCGCAAGACCAAAGAGGGGGACCUUCGGGCCUCUUGCCAUCGGAUGUGCCCAGAUGGGAUCAGCUAGUAGGUGGGGUAACGGCUCACCUAGGCGACGAUCCCUAGCUGGUCUGAGAGGAUGCCCAGCAACACUGGAACUGAGACACGGUCCAGACUCCUACGGGAGGCAGCAGUGGGGAAUAUUGCACAAUGGGCGCAAGCCUGAUGCAGCCAUGCCGCGUGUAUGAAGAAGGCCUUCGGGUUGUAAAGUACUUUCAGCGGGGAGGAAGGCGAUGAGGUUAAUAACCUUGUCGAUUGACGUUACCCGCAGAAGAAGCACCGGCUAACUCCGUGCCAGCAGCCGCCGUAA
rnacentral:rRNA from 1 species